rnacentral:rRNA from 1 species
UGGGUAAUACUAGUUAUGUUCUUGAAACCCAAAGAAUUUGGCGGUAUUUUAUUCUUUUAGAGGAACCUGUCCUGUAAUUGAUAAUACACGAUGAAGAAAUACUUGUUCUUGUAUUCAUUUUGUAUACCUCCGUCAUAAGAUUAUCUUUUUAGAGUUAAUAUUCUUAAUAUAUUAAUUAUAUAAUGUCAGGUCAAGGUGCAAUUUAUGGACAAGAAGAGAUGGGUUACAAUAGAAUUAUCUAAACGGAUUUUUAAUAUUAAUAUUAAGAUGAAGGUGGAUUUAAAAGUAAAAUUAUUAACUAUUUAAUUUGACUUUAGCUCUAGAAUAUGCACACAUCGCCCGUCACUCUUAUUUUAAAAUAAGAUAAGUCGUAACAUAGUAGAGGUACCGGAAGGUGUCUCUAGU